rnacentral:misc_RNA from 1 species
GAUGAAGAACGCAGCGAAAUGCGAUAAGUAAUGUGAAUUGCAGAAUUCAGUGAAUCAUCGAAUCUUUGAACGCACAUUGCGCCCCCUGGUAUUCCGGGGGGCAUGCCUGUCCGAGCGUCAUUACAACCCUCAAGCUCAGCUUGGUGUUGGGCCCCGCCGCCCCGGCGGGCCCUAAAGUCAGUGGCGGUGCCGUCCGGCUCCGAGCGUAGUAAUUCUUCUCGCUCUGGAGGUCCGGUCGUGUGCUCGCCAGCAAACCCCAAUUUUUUUCAGGUUGACCUCGGAUCAGGUAGGGAUACCCGCUGAACUUAAGCAUAUCAAUAAGCGGAGGA